AUUGAACGCUAGCGGGAUGCCUUACACAUGCAAGUCGAACGGAGUGGCGAACGGGUGAGUAAUGUAUCGGAACGUGCCCAGUAGCGGGGGAUAACUAAGCGAAAGCGUAGCUAAUACCGCAUACUUUUGGAGCGGCCGAUAGCGGAUUAGCUAGUUGGUGGGGGAAAGGCUCACCAAGGCGACGAUCCGUACCUGGUUGGAGGGGACGACCAGCCACACUGGUACUGAGACACGGCCCAGCUUCCUACGGUAGGCAGCAGUGGGGAAUUUUUGACAAUGGGGGAAACCCUUGUCCAACCAUCCCGCGUGUGCGAUGAAGGCCUUCGGGUUGUAAAGCACUUUUGGCAGGAAAUCGGUACCUGCAGAAUAAGCACCGGCUAACUACGUGCCAGCAGCCGCGGUAAUAC
rnacentral:rRNA from 1 species